CGUAGCCUUCCAUAAGGUCGAGCGUUGGCAUAUUGCUGGCCGUCGGAUGCUAGUGUUUUAAAUCAACGGCUAUCCUCAAGCUGGGAUUUCUAGGAGAGAGACCGGUCGUUUUGGUUACUGUGCAACCUUCUCUCUCUUGCCCUCAAUACCAGCCCUCUCUCUCCCUCAAUCCCUACCAGGAGACGCGUCCGCAUGCAGCCCUCUCUCUCCCUCAAUCCCGACCACUAGGAACGUUCGCCUCCACCUCUCUCUCUCUCUCUCCUUCUCUCCCUCAAUCAGUACCACUAGCCGCAACCGCCUCCACCUCUUUUUUUUGAAUCCGAGCAAGGAAUAUUUGAACAGGUUUUGAAAAGGGACCUUGACUUUUCAUCUGAUCCAUGGCCUAGUAUUUCUGAGAGUGCAAAAGAUUUAGCAUGGAGAAUGCUUAUUAGAGACCCAAAAAAGCAGCUGACCGCCCAUCAAGUUCUGUGCCAUCCAUGGGUUCAGGUUGAUGGUAUAGCUCCUGAUAAGCCUCUUGAUUCUGCAGUUCUAAGUCGCAUGAAGCAAUUCUCUGCUAUGAACAAGAUCAAGAAAAUGGCCCUCAGAGUGACUCAAGUUGCUUGCUGAAAUUUGUACUUUAUCUACAACUAGUUGAAGGCAAACUUAACCUACAACCCAUUUUUACAAGCAUUUUGUCCUUGAAAAGCGAAUUCAGCAGCAUAAGAAGAAAUGAGUACCAUUUUUAUUUUCUUUGAUCAAUCUGAAUUUUAUUAGAAAAGGAGUCAGUGAUCUCCACCAUCAUAGCCUUGUUUCAGCUUUCAUCUUUUUAGAUCCUGCUUUUAUGGAUCUAAAAGGAAAUAUAUUAUAAUAAAUGUUAUCUUGUUAUUGUAUGGAUAUGUCACUAUUAUGUUUCCACAGUGAACAUGUCUGACCGCAUAUUUAUACAGAUCUCUAGGGUCCUAUGUCUC